rnacentral:rRNA from 1 species
CUAGCGGCGGACGGGUUAGUAACGCGUGGGAAUAUACCCUUCACUACGGAAUAGCCUCGGGAAACUGAGAGUAAUACCGUAUACGCCCUUUUGGGGAAAGAUUUAUCGGUGAAGGAUUAGCCCGCGUCUGAUUAGAUAGUUGGUGGGGUAAUGGCCUACCAAGUCUACGAUCAGUAGCUGGUUUGAGAGGAUGAUCAGCAACACUGGGACUGAGACACGGCCCAGACUCCUACGGGAGGCAGCAGUGGGGAAUCUUAGACAAUGGGCGCAAGCCUGAUCUAGCCAUGCCGCGUGAGUGACGAAGGCCUUAGGGUCGUAAAGCUCUUUCGCCAGAGAUGAUAAUGACAGUAUCUGGUAAAGAAACCCCGGCUAGCUCCGUGCCAGCAGCCGCGGUAAUACGGAGGGGGUUAGCGUUGUUCGGAAUUACUGGGCGUAAAGCGCACGUAGGCGGAUUGGAAAGUAUGGGGUGAAAUCCCAGGGCUCAACCCUGGA